rnacentral:lncRNA from 1 species
CCCUCUGUGCUGGUAUAUUUGUCCAGAUGAAUAGUCUGUGCAAAUGGCUUGAGAUCUGGCUCCCCGUUUGUAACGCAUGUGUGUGCCCUGGCAUUGGGCAGUCUUGAUUACUCCCACCAGCAGGAGGAGACUCAGGAGCUUGCCUUUCAUUCUGAGUGUUUUCCACAUCACCUCCGGAUCUUUUUUGCUUUUUCGUUUUCUGCUGCUGAUUUGCUUCCCAGACCAGUCUGUUUUUAUGUUUUCCACAUCUCUGUUACAAUCUCUGAAAAGCUCUGUCCUACUUAAAACUGCACUGCAAGGGGUGGAGCCUAAAGAGGGCAGUAGGGUGUGCUUCCCACUCCUCCAAGAGAAAAAAGAGCCAAGAUCUUAGGAUGGUCUGGGACAGAGUGGCAUGUGUCCAAACUGUGAGGUUUCUGCAUGGGACAGGAGGAGAGCUGACUUGUGGAUUUUACGUACUGGAUUUUGCAGCCAGUAUGCUUUGUUCAUUCUUUAUUCUAAUCAGAGAGCAGAUACAGCCUUCAAAACAAACUUUUCUGCAUUAGACACCUUAAACUUCAGUGAGACUGAGAAUAGUAUGUAUCCCCUAUGAAGGGCUGUCUUGUAUCAUUGUGCUUCUAGGAAUGUGAGGGAGGAAUGGAGCAGGUUGAAUGCACAGGUGCAUCAUUUCUAACAUGACCAGAGGUAUGCAUGCUUAGCUGCAGUGCUGAAAAACCCCUGCUUUGAGCUGGAGCAGUGUGCUGUACUGGAAUGACAUCCCCUCAGAAUCUUGGGCACAGACACCUUGUGUCACAACGUGCCUCAGUGUGCUGAAGAAGAAAUCAGAACUCCCAAGUUAAUUGAUAACAAUGAAGAAAUGUUAGGACCUCUAGGUAGAAAUAAGGAAGAGCAUGUUAAGGACCAGAGUUAAAUGUGCACUGAUAAUGUCCAUCCUAGAAAAUGAAACUUCUCAGCCAGAGUCAAAAAAACAAGUCACAAAGUACUACGUUAUAAAAGUGCAGCAGACAAAUCCAAAUGAGGAAUUUUAGAAUGGAAUUUAGAACUGGGUUAUGACAACUGUUGAUGAUACAAUUGUUACAGUAAUAGGUGUGUGUAAACUUUUAGGAAUUUAUUCGCUAGAAAUUGGUUCCUGAUAAAAUUUAGUGUGAGCACAGACAUAAAUAGCAUAUGGGGGACUCCAUUUUCAGGAAGUAAGUGCACAGAAUCUUCUGUCGGCAAACAUGUUAAGGGUCAUUUUGCACACUGGCAAAGAGGAAACUAUCUUGAAUGUUUAGGUCUUCUCUAUAUGGAAACCUGUGUCAAGACUGUCAUAUGUAUCUCUGAGUAAAACUGCAGGUAUGAACAUAAAUGCCAUAAGUCUGCAUUAGGAACAGUUGGAAUUGACUGUUUCCAGAGGGGACUGUAUUGAGAAAGGGUAGUUGGGCACUGCUGAACAAACGGAAUAACUUCUAAUUCUUUUAAAGACAAUAUUUUUUUGCUACUGGAGUUCUAAAGAUUCUAAUGAAGUAAUAGCUUCCAGGGAAGAUUUCAGAAGUUAUGAUUUCCUAGCUUUUUGCAGCUUAAGGACAACUGUAGUGGAGUGGGUGCUUUGUGUACUUCUUACUGUGCUUUAGGAAAGCAAGCAGUAAUGGUACCUUCUCUAUUCGACAUUGUCCACUGCUUUACCUCUCAGCUGAACCUGCAUCAGGAUAGGGUUAUUUUGAGACUGCUAAGUUAGAGUGCAUCUCUACACAAUGUCUGGAUAUGCUUCAGCCGUAAGGCAGCUGUUGAGGUGCUGUGUGGAGCCUCUGCUUUCAGAAAUGUAAAAGGCUGAAGAAACAUUGGUUCAGGCUUUACGUUGCCUGGUAAGUACCAUAUCAUUUUUACAAUACGUACCAAUCAUGGAAGGCAUCCCUACUCCAGCCUGAACGGUCC